GAUGAACGCUGGCGGCGUGCCUAAUACAUGCAAGUCGAGCGAACGGACGAGAAGCUUGCUUCUCUGCUGUUAGCGGCGGACGGGUGAGUAACACGUGGAUAACCUACCUAUAAGACUGGGAUAACUUCGGGAAACCGGUGCUAAUACCGGAUAAUAUUUUGAACCGCAUGGUUCAAAAGUGAAAGACGGUCUUGCUGUCACUUAUAGAUGGAUCCGCGCUGCAUUAGCUAGUUGGUAAGGUAACGGCUUACCAAGGCAACGAUGCAUAGCCGACCUGAGAGGGUGAUCGGCCACACUGGAACUGAGACACGGUCCAGACUCCUACGGGAGGCAGCAGUAGGGAAUCUUCCGCAAUGGGCGAAAGCCUGACGGAGCAACGCCGCGUGAGUGAUGAAGGUCUUCGGAUCGUAAAACUCUGUUAUUAGGGAAGAACAUAUGUGUAAGUAACUGUGCACAUCUUGACGGUACCUAAUCAGAAAGCCACGGCUAACUACGUG
rnacentral:rRNA from 1 species